rnacentral:rRNA from 1 species
CACCCUACGGGACGCAGCAGUGAGGAAUAUUGGUCAAUGGGCGCAAGCCUGAACCAGCCAAGUCGCGUGAGGGAUGACGGUCCUAUGGAUUGUAAACCUCUUUUGUCGGGGAGCAAGGCCCGCCACGUGUGGCGGGAAGGAGAGUACCCGAAGAAAAAGCAUCGGCUAACUCCGUGCCAGCAGCCGCGGGAAUACGGAGGAUGCGAGCGGUAUCCGGAUUUAUUGGGUUUAAAGGGUGCGUAGGCGGCAGGUUAAGUCAGCGGUCAAAUGUCGGUGCUCAACACCGGCCUGCCGGUGAAACUGGG